CUACGGGGCGCAGCAGUGGGGAAUAUUGGACAAUGGGGGAAACCCUGAUCCAGCAAUGCCGCGUGUGUGAAGAAGGCCUGCGGGUUGUAAAGCACUUUCGGUUGGGAGGACUGCUUCUAGCACUAAUAUUGUUGGAAGUUGACGUUACCUUCAGAAGAAGCACCGGCUAACUCCGUGCCAGCAGGCCGCGGUAAUACGGAGGGUGCAAGCGUUAAUCGGAAUUACUGGGCGUAAAGCGCGCGUAGGCGGCUAGAUCAGUCGGGUGUGAAAGCCCCGGGCUUAACCUGGGAAAUGCAUCCGAUACUGGCUAGCUUGAGGACAGGAGAGGAGAGUGGAAUUCCACAUGUAGCGGUGAAAUGCGUAGAUAUGUGGAGGAACACCAAUGGCGAAGGCAGCUCUCUGGCCUGAUACUGACGCUGAGGUGCGAAAGCGUGGGGAGCAAACAGGAUUAGAUACCCGCGUAGUC
rnacentral:rRNA from 1 species